UCUGCUGGUGUGCUGACUUCAAGGAACCAGACAAUUUCAAAAAGUUGUUAUUUGAUACUACAGGGCCUCUGCCCUCCUUUCUAAUUACAGGUUAGACGGGUGGAGCGGCCGCAGCUGUGAGCAGUUACAAUCAGCCAGCUUUAAAAGACCAGCAGACGCACCAUCACGUCGCCAGAUCAACUCGUCUAGCCCUGCUGACCUGUUUACGCACGCCCCUUGUCGGAUCUCCACGCCUGAUUCCCCCCGAGCUUUGCCUGCCUCUCGUCGGUCUGGAUCUCGCCAGCAACGCUCAAACAAUAAACAAAACAUUUGGUUUUAGGACUGUCAAAAUUAUCGCAUUAAAGGGCGGUAAUUAGUUUUUUUAAUUAAUCACGUUAAAACAUUUGACGUAUUUAACGCACAUGCCCCACUCAAACAGAUUAAAAUGACAGCACAGUGUAAUGUCCACUUGUUACUUGUGUUUUGUCGCCCUCUGCUGGCGCUUGGGUGCAAAUGAUUUUAUGGGUUUCAGCACAGUGAGCAUUGUGUAAUUAUUGACAUGAACAAUGGCGAGCUACUAGUUUAUUUUUUGAUUGAAAAUUUUAUUAAAACGAAAACAUUAAGAGGGGUUUUAAUAUAAAAUUUCUAGAACUUGUACUAACAUUUAUCUUUUAAGAACUACAAGUCUUUCUA